GAUAAACGCUGGCGGCGUGCAUGAGACAUGCAAGUCAAACGGACGAUCAGGGCUUGCUCUGAUCGUUAGUGGCGGACGGCUGAGUAACGCGUGGGUGACCUGCCCCGAAGUGGGGAAUAACUGCCCGAAAGGGUGGCUAAUACCGCAUGUGGUGGUGCGUUCGUUCGCACCAGUAAAGCCGCAAGGCGCUUCGGGAGGGGCCUGCGUCCGAUUAGCUCGUUGGUGGGGUAACGGCUCACCAAGGCGACGAUCGGUAGGUGGUCUGAGAGGACGAUCACCCAGACUGGGACUGAGACACGGCCCAGACUCCUACGGGAGGCAGCAGUCGGGAAUUUUGCUCAAUGGACGAAAGUCUGAAGCAGCAACGCCGCGUGAGGGAUGAAGGCCUUCGGGUUGUAAACCUCUUUUAUCAGGGAAGAUAAUGACGGUACCUGAUGAAUAAGUCACGGCUAACUACGUGCCAGCAGCCGCGGUAAUACGUAGGUGACUAGCGUUGUCCGGAUUUACUGGGCGUAAAGAGCGCGCAGGCGGUCGAUUUAGUCGAGUGUGAAAGCCCCCGGCUCAACUGGGGAGGGUCACUCGAUACUGAUC
rnacentral:rRNA from 1 species